UUUCUUUUCUUUUUUAUUUCAGAUGCUAUGCUGCUGCAAAUAACCUGAUGUCUUCACUGUGUUGACCCUUUAAGGUCUCAUGCUGUGGUUGCAGGAGAGGCACGAGAUGCCUAAUCCUUUGUCUCCUUUCCCUGAGGACAGAUAAACAGCAGCAGCAGUAAUGGAGCUACACAGUGACUGGCAGUGAUUUCGUGCCUUUCCUGAUGUGCAAGGUUUCGGAAACACUUGAAUGACUUGGGAGUACACAGAGUGGCCACAAUUGAAAGGUGCGUUGGUGUAGAUGAACCGUAAGAUAAGCUGAUGGAGCUCAUCCAGAGCAGCGUCUCGCU